rnacentral:lncRNA from 1 species
ACAGCUUAUGUAAAAGACUGCACCCUCUGCCCCCUUCUCUCUCUCUAAGGCAUGAAAUAUCUUUUCUGUGGUCCUUACAGGCAGGAAGAUUGAUUUCAAGACUCCUCUUUGAUAAGAGACAUUGAAAAUUAACAUGCAAAUUCAACUACUGUAUAGCAAUCAGUGAAUCCAGAUGUUUGAACGUGAGAGAUCUUAGCUGUGGCAUCUGGAUCCUUCACAGAUUCCAAAACAGAAAAUAUCCCCACCCCAGUCUGUUGAAGUUCCUAGAAAGUUCUACAUCUCAAAGAAAAAUUAUGUAUAUACUUGUGUUUAAUUUUCAGCUUUAAUAAAUUAAUAUAUUUAAUAAAU